GGGCUUGUGGCUCAGUGGAUAGAGCAUCUGGCUACGGACCAGAGGGUCGGGGGUUCGAAUCCCUCCAAGCCCG
rnacentral:tRNA from 1 species